AGUAGAGGAACGAAGGUUAAGAACAUCAUGUUCUGUGAUAACGCCUUCGUGACCAACAUCCUGUUGC
rnacentral:sRNA from 1 species